UUAUAAACCACAGUUCUCAGCUCAGCACACGUAAAUAUUGCUUGUUUCAACCUCUUUUCAGUCUGCUUUGGAACAGUUGAUUGGCUGGGGAGAGUUUUAAAAGGAUCAAGCCCCACACACCAGACGAGCGAGGAAGUUUGGAAGAGCUCCUGGUUGUUGGCGUGUCUCUGAGCCUCGCUCCCGCUCCAUUGAUGUUAUUUUUUGUUUGUUAACUUCCCUCUUGUAUUGUUAAGUCUGGGGAUCGUUGGCCAAGCUGAGGUUUUCCGGUUUUUGGUUGUAGGGUGAGUGAUCCGGUGAGGCAGGGUGAGGGGAGCGACCCGAAUCCGACGGUCAACUCCUGGCUGGUUCGUGAAUGCUCCCACACUUUUGUUUAUUUUGCUACGAUUCCCCAGUACCUUUAUGUCCAGCCUAGGAUUGAAUAAAACCUUUUGUUUUAUGUAA